rnacentral:rRNA from 1 species
AUGCAGCUCACGGAAGCCGGCCUCGACGGCCACAUCUUCACCAGGGAGCUCAUUCCUCUAGCGGCACAGCACAUCGAGCAGUGUCUCAUGGAUGCUUUCCAGCCGCUUGGAAUCAUGAGCGAUGGCACCAAAUGGAACGAUAUGUUCUUUGUGGUGCACCCUGGCAUCCGUGGAAUAAUGGACCACAUUGACGGUGCACUCCAGCUGGAUCACGGGAAGCUGGCCGCGAGCCGGACUGUACUGAGAGACUACGGGAACAUGCUUGGUGCCACAUUGAUCUUCGUGCUCGACGAGCAACGGCGGCGAAUGGAGGAUGAAGGAGAGACGGGCGAGUGGGGUGUGAUGAUGGGAUUUGGACCGGGGUUCACGGUGGAGACCAUGGUGCUCCAUGUGGUGGCCAGCAACCUGCACAACAAAAAUUGA